GAUGAAGAACGUAGCGAAAUGCGAUACGUAAUGUGAAUUGCAAAUUCAGUGAAUCAUCGAGUCUUUGAACGCACAUUGCGCCCGGCAGUAAUCUGCCGGGCAUGCCUGUCCGAGCGUCAUUUCUACCCUCGAGCGAGUCCAGCAUCUAGGUGCUGGGCCUCGCCCGGCGUUGGAGCACUACGGGAAGCCCUGUGCUGUCCCCCGUAGGCCCCGAAAUGAAGUGGCGGUCCUGCCGCGGCGCCCCCUGCGUAGUAUAACAGCUCGCUUCGGGACCCGGUGGAGGCCUGCCGUCAAACCUAUACUCUCUAAGUUUGACCUCGGAUCAGGUAGGGUUACCCGCUGAACUUAAGCAUAUCAAUAAGCGGAGGA
rnacentral:misc_RNA from 1 species